AGUUUGCUGAGAGUUGUAUGUAUACUCCGGCUUACAGAACCUACCGGUGAAGCGACAAAGACAAUAAUACCCCCAUAUUAUUUAUUUUACCUGAAAAUGUAUGCAGUUUAUCUUAUGAACAUGACAACAAAUGUUCGUAUUUGGAAAGCCUUGAACUCACAAUCAGACGGUGACCACCUUGGCCUUAUUAAAAAAGUGUUGCGGCCUUGUCAUGAUGGUGGAGAAAACUGCAAAUUUUGUAGUCAAUAUUCUUACACUAAAGAAGACAUAAUUCGUUCUCAAAAUUUGAAUGAUUCACAGGAAGAAGCUGUUUCAAGCUGUGUUGGUAUCACAGGAAGACAUAAUUCCUUCUUGCUUUCUACCAUCAAACUCUGA